ACUCUCGAGCCGCCCGUCCACACUCCACCCUGCCAUCUCCUCCACCGCUGUGCAUCUUCCACCCUUUUCUACUCCAGCCAGAACUGUGUUCUGAAUGCAAAGGACACACUUAAGUUAUUUAUGAACUGACGUGUUUACAGAGAGAAAGAGCAAACUGUUUGGGAUUACAUUUCCAUAAUAAAUGACCGUCUCUAAGUCACUUUAGAACAAAUGCGAGUUGACGACUUUCCCCAGUCCACCUCCCCUCUGCCCACCUGUCGAAUCUCCCUUAGCUUCUUUCCAUGACAGCAGCCUUGAGCAGCCCGGAGGGAACUCAGUGCCCCGCCCACUCCAUUUCCUUAUACAAAGGGGCUGUUCGAAAGUCAGGAGAGCUGCACAUCACUGGGCCGGCCAGCCCCUGUUUGCUGAGAUCUCUGUUUCUCUAUCUGGCAGGUCGACAUAACUUGAAGAUGUAUCUUUCUUUCUGUGGCCUGUGGUCUUCUGUGAUGACAUUUAGACCUCAUUCAUGCUAUGACCUUUGGCUCAUAAGAACACAAAUCUAACAUUGCCAGGUUUUAGUGCUGACUUAAAAGUACAACUGCCCACUUGAUUAAAAUGUGCUCCCAUGCUUAUCUUGUUCUGUGCUGCUGUUCGAAGAUAAACCAGUGCCAUUUGAUGAGAGGCAAGGGAUGCUGCGGCCACCAGGGGGGGUUCAGGACAUGAGGUGCCCCUCCCUGGGUGCUCAGAUCAGCAGAUGGCCAGAGGGACAGUCUCUUCAGACAUUAGGGAACGCUCCAGCAACAGUGCUUCUGUGUCCGUCUCCUCUCAGCCACCAGAAGAAGACAAUUUCCCCUUUGCCGAUGUCGUCGGACUCACUUUGUCUUCCGUGCUAGUGACAGGAGACACCAGAACUGCCAAAGGACACCAGAUACACAAAGCAACUGCUGGGCUCAGAAGACAAGAUAUUAAAAGGUAUUUGCCUGUUCAAGUUCCCCCAAAGCAGUCACCGGCCACUGAAACUGGAUGGCCAGUGAGCAUGUGCAACUCUCCAUCCUGAACACUGACUGGCCUUUGUACCUGUGGCCGGCUGUCAGGUGUUAUGGUGUGUGUCUUCACAUGUGGACUUUGAGAAGUCAGGACACAAACGUCCCUCAGAUACUAGGGAGCCAGUCUCUAGGUAAUCUCUUAUUCCAACCAACAGUUUCAGGAGAAAAGAAGACACGGGUGCAGAGCUGGGUCGCUGCAUUUUAUCUGCUGGUCGAGUGAAGAACUUUCUUUCCUUAUCCCAGGAUGGGCUUUAACAGAAGUAGAGCCAGAAGACUGGGUAUCACCCCACUGGCCCCGUGACUGCCAUCCACCAGGUGGGAAGGCAUUACACCCCAUUUUACUCUUCCUGGUGCCUGGAGCUUAGCUUGUGUUGCAUAGCAUUUGUAUUAUUUUAUAUACAUUUAUGGAACAAAUCAGAUAUUUGCUUUAAGAAAUGCCAUUUUUCAGCUAGGGAGAUGGUUCACUCUCCUGCCUGCCAUGCAAGCUGGAAGACCUCAUGCAGAUCCUCAGAGCCUACGAGAAAAGCCAUGUGUGGUGGUGUGUGCCUAUAAUGACAGCCUAGGAGGGAGUGGGGGAGGGGGACACAGAUCCCCAUAGCUCAUUGGCCAGCCAGUGUAGCUGAUUAAUCAUUGACCUUUGUGUUUACUGAGAGACCCUGUUGGAAAACAAUAAGGUGAACAUCAACCAAGGACAGACACCAAACACCAGGCACCAGACUCCACAUGAAUGCACAUGAAAUGGGUAAUUUUUUUUUUUAAUUUUAAAGGCAGUAAGGGAUCCCUUAUAACACAAAUAUUGCUAUGACUCUAUCCACCAGAAGCCACCUUCCCCAUGGUCUGUGCCAGGGCAGGCCAGUGUAGAUGCACCAUGCCCUCCUCAUGCCUUAAGGUAAUGCCUGUUAUGGAGCCCAGUGUGAAGAGAAAUCUCACUCCAGACCUAGAGUGUUCCUCGAGUCUCAUCUCCACAGAGCUAAGAACUCUAUCUCCCUUCAGGCAAAAAGGAGGUAACUG
ensembl:lncRNA